UACGAAGGGGGCUAGCGUUGCUCGGAAUUACUGGGCGUAAAGCGCACGUAGGCGGAUCGUUAAGUCGGGGGUGAAAUCCUGGAGCUCAACUCCAGAACUGCCUUCGAUACUGGCGAUCUUGAGUCCGGAAGAGGUGAGUGGAACUGCGAGUGUAGAGGUGAAAUUCGUAGAUAUUCGCAAGAACACCAGUGGCGAAGGCGGCCACCUGGACGAUUACUGACGCUGAGACGCGAAAGCGUGGGGAGCAAACAGG
rnacentral:rRNA from 1 species